rfam:Hymenolepis nana genome assembly, scaffold: HNAJ_contig0008703
GACGCGGUGGCCUAGUGGUUAAGGCGAUGGACUGCUAAUCCAUUGGGGUUUCCCCGCGUGAGUUUGAAUCUCACCUGCGUCG